UGUGUUUGUGCCCCUGAAAAAGGGAUGGGCCCCUGGAAAAAUGAGAAGUGGAUUUGACAGUCACCCUGUUUUUCUAUAAAAAGGCAAUGAAUGCUGACUAAUGUGUUGGUUCGUUUGCAGGUCCAGGUGCUGGAGGCUUUGAUAGCCCUGCAGAAACUCCGCCUUUCGUCACCAGCUUAAGAGAGAAGAAAAAUCAGCCAUAGUCCAGAGGAUGGAAGCCAGCCUCACGGAGGAAGACUUUUCUACGGAUGAGGAGGAGAAAGAAACAGAGGAAAGUGAUGAGGUCCUCAGUAUUUCGGAUCUCACUGUUUCAGAGGACUCUGAUGAAGAUGAUCCAAGAUUUUUGGAAGGUGGCAGAUCGGGGCAACUGGAUUUUGCUAGGGAGCACGGUUUGGUCAAGGAAGAACAGCCUAGUUAUGAGCCGGGGACAUCUGGAGUGAGAACAAAACCAAAAAGUUUCCUUCUGCCAGAUCCUGAGGACAUCCAGAGCUCUGAGGAAGAUGUAUCGCUGAAGUCUCUGGAAAAGACAGUUGCCAAGAUACGCAGUGUCCUGUGGAAGUGCCGAGGACUCCCUCUGAAAACCAAGUGUUUCCUGAGCUAACAAGUCCACUCCUGAUUGGCUGGCUGAAGGUGAGACGUCAAAGAACUCAUCAGCCUGACGGGAGGAGCAAGGUCCAGGUGCUGGAGGCUUUGAUAGCCCUGCAGAAACUCCGCCUUUCGUCACCAGCUUAAGAGAGAAGAAAAAUCAGCCAUAGUCCAGAGGAUGGAAGCCAGCCUCACGGAGGAAGACUUUUCUACGGAUGAGGAGGAGAAAGAAACAGAGGAAAGUGAUGAGGUCCUCAGUAUUUCGGAUCUCACUGUUUCAGAGGACUCUGAUGAAGAUGAUCCAAGAUCGUUGGAAGGUGGCAGAUAGGGGCAAUUGGAUUUUGCUAGGGUCCAGGUGCUGGAGGCUUUGAUAGCCCUGCAGAAACUCCGCCUUUCGUCACCAGCUUAAGAGAGAAGAAAAAUCAGCCAUAGUCCAGAGGAUGGAAGCCAGCCUCACGGAGGAAGACUUUUCUACGGAUGAGGAGGAGAAAGAAACAGAGGAAAGUGAUGAGGUCCUCAGUAUUUCGGAUCUCACUGUUUCAGAGGACUCUGAUGAAGAUGAUCCAAGAUCAUUGGAAGGUGGCAGAUAGGGGCAAUUGGAUUUUGCUAGGGUGAGUUAGCCAAGUCCUCACAUUUUCAAUUUUUC